CUAAUACUCCCUCCGUCAGGAAUUACUUUUUGCAAAAAUUGAUAGAAAUGGAUGAAUUUAGAGUUAAAAUAUUUCUAGAUACAUCCAUUUCUCCGACAAGUAAUUCCGGACGGAGAGAGUAUUUU
rfam:Triticum aestivum genome assembly, contig: Triticum_aestivum_CS42_TGACv1_scaffold_147214_2BS